rnacentral:rRNA from 1 species
UACGGGGGGAGCAAGCGUUGUUCGGAUUUACUGGGCGUAAAGGGCGCGUAGGCGGCCUUCUAAGUCAGACGUGAAAUCCCCCGGCUUAACCUGGGAACUGCGUCUGAUACUGGGAGGCUUGAGUGCGGGAGAGGGAUGCGGAAUUCCAGGUGUAGCGGUGAAAUGCGUAGAUAUCUGGAGGAACACCGGUGGCGAAGGCGGCAUCCUGGACCGACACUGACGCUGAGGCGCGAAAGCUAGGGUAGCAAACGGG